UUUGUCUCAGUAGCCGACUCUCAAUUUUGUCUCAAUAGUCGACUCUCAAUCCUCAAUCUUAAUAUGGGCUCUAGGGCUAAAAGCCCAUAUCAUUUUGAUUUAUUUGUGGCCCAGAAAAGUAUGGAAAAGAAGUGGGUCAUGUUCAAGAGGGAUAUAAAAGCCCAUCAAUUUUGCUUUUUGGAGCCCAAACUAUUCGGGUUUUUACUGAUCCGAAGAUUUCAGUCCGGCAAAAUUAUGCCAAUUGGGGCGCACUCUUCCCCAGCUCCGGUACGACAGCCACCGAGGCUAGUUUCGGAAGUCCACCGUCUUCAGGUUGAGCGUUUUUCUCCAUGAUCGACAUAUAUAUAACCGCCUGGGCAGGUGUUGGGUUGCAUGCAGCUUCUCAAUAACUUUCUCAACUCGAUAUGAAUCUGCUUCGAAUAGUGAUGAAUAUACGAGGAAAUCGUUGUAAUGGAGCUUCCUAGUAGAUGUGAUUACCACAGUUAUUCUGUGGCUAACUUUGAUGGACUCAAAAGCAGUUUUGAUUCUCGCUUUGUGAUUGAAGAAAUACCAAGCAAGCGAGACAUGGCAUCAAACCAUGAACUUGAAGUGAUUCAGUGCACGACGAAAAUAAAAGCACAAGUUCCAUUGAGUUCAUCAGGUUGUGCUACCCCUUUUACUUAUAACAAUCGUUUACUCACAUUCCUAACAUUACAACCUCUAACCCUCUAGCUAUAAAAACUUCAUAUAAAAUUUUAAAUAUAACAACUUAAGAGGGGAAGUUCUGGUUUGCUAUUUCAGGAGGAGGCCUUAAUUUGCAAUCUUGGGCUUCAAUUUGUCUAGGAUGGCGUUUCUGGUACUUGUCAUACAAGGCGUUGUCGGGCUUGGUUGCAGAGAGAGGAAAUCAUCCCUGGAGAUAGCAGUCCCUCUACUUCUUCCUUUUAUAACAUUUAUAACAAUCCACCUCCACCUGUUGCUCUUGGGAUGCUGGAUUUAGAGAGGGAAAGAGUGUGAGUCUUGAGAGUGAGGGAGGCAAAGGAGCGAGAAAAUGUGGUUUGACAGAAGGCAAUGACUGUAUGGGCUUGCCUUGGUUUUCCAUGGUGUUCUGUGCAAGAAAGGAUGGAGGAGUAUGGCUCCACAUAUGUCCAUACAGUCAGACUCUCAUA